rnacentral:rRNA from 1 species
CACGUAGGGGGCGAGCGUUGUCCGGAUUUAUUGGGCGUAAAGAGCUCUUAGGCGGCUAAGUAAGUCAGGUGUGAAAACUCCAGGCUCAACCUGGAGACGCCACCUGAUACUGCUUUGGCUAGAGUCCGGUAGGGGAGCAUGGAAUUCCUGGUGUAGCGGUGAAAUGCGCAGAUAUCAGGAGGAACACCAGUGGCGAAGGCGGUGCUCUGGGCCGGUACUGACGCUGAGGAGCGAAAGCGUGGGGAGCAAACAGG